UAGUGGCGAACGGGUGAGUAACACGUGAGUAACCUGCCCUUGACUCUGGGAUAACCUCCGGAAACGGAAGCUAAUACCGGAUAUGACGCACGGAGGCAUCUCCUGUGCGUGGAAAGAAUUUCGGUCAAGGAUGGACUCGCGGCCUAUCAGGUAGUUGGUGAGGUAACGGCUCACCAAGCCUACGACGGGUAGCCGGCCUGAGAGGGUGACCGGCCACACUGGGACUGAGACACGGCCCAGACUCCUACGGGAGGCAGCAGUGGGGAAUAUUGCACAAUGGGCGAAAGCCUGAUGCAGCAACGCCGCGUGAGGGACGACGGCCUUCGGGUUGUAAACCUCUUUUAGUAGGGAAGAAGCGAAAGUGACGGUACCUGCAGAAAAAGCACCGGCUAACUACGUGCCAGCAGCCGCGGUAAUACGUAGGGUGCAAGCGUUGUCCGGAAUUAUUGGGCGUAAAGAGCUCGUAGGCGGUUUGUCGCGUCUGCUGUGAAAUCCCGAGGCUCAACCUCGGGUCUGCAGUGGGUACGGGCAGACUAGAGUGCGGUAGGGGAGAAUGGAAUUCCUGGUGUAGCGGUGGAAUGCGCAGAUAUCAGGAGGAACACCGAUGGCGAAGGCAGUUCUCUGGGCCGUAACUGACGCUG
rnacentral:rRNA from 1 species